rnacentral:misc_RNA from 1 species
GAUGAAGAACGCAGCGAAAUGCGAUAAGUAGUGUGAAUUGCAGAAUUCAGUGAAUCAUCGAAUCUUUGAACGCACAUUGCGCCCGCCAGCAUUCUGGCGGGCAUGCCUGUUCGAGCGUCAUUUCAACCCUCGAGCCCCCCCGGGGGCCUCGGUGUUGGGGGACGGCACACCAGCCGCCCCCGAAAUGCAGUGGCGACCUCGCCGCAGCCUCCCCUGCGUAGUAGCACACACCUCGCACCGGAGCGCGGAGACGGUCACGCCGUAAAACGCCCAACUUCUUAGAGUUGACCUCGGAUCAGGUAGGAAUACCCGCUGAACUUAAGCAUAUCAAUAAGCGGAGGA